CGCAGUGUAGCUUAAUGGCAAAGCCCCAAGCUCAUAACUUGGUCAAUGUGGGUUCAAAUCCCAUCACUGCUACCA
rnacentral:tRNA from 1 species